GACGAACGCUGGCGGCGUGCUUAACACAUGCAAGUCGAACGGAAAGGCCCUGCUUUUUUGGGGUGCUCGAGUGGCGAACGGGUGAGUAACACGUGAGUAACCUGCCCUUGACUUUGGGAUAACUUCAGGAAACUGGGGCUAAUACCGGAUAGGAACUCCUGCUGCAUGGUGGGGGGUGGAAAGUUUCGGCGGUUGGGGAUGGACUCGCGGCUUAUCAGCUUGUUGGUGGGGUAGUGGCUUACCAAGGCUUUGACGGGUAGCCGGCCUGAGAGGGUGACCGGCCACAUUGGGACUGAGAUAAGGCACAGACUCCUACGGGAGGUAGCAGUGGGGAAUAUUGCACAAUGGGCGGAAGCCUGAUGCAGCAACGCCGCGUGCGGGAUGACGGCAUUCGGGUUGUAAACCGCUUUCGCCUGUGACGAAGCGUGAGUGACGGUAAUGGGUAAAGAAGCACCGGCUAACUCCGUG
rnacentral:rRNA from 1 species